rnacentral:lncRNA from 1 species
GAGAAAAAUGUACAUUGAUUGUUAUUUAUUAUGUGAAAAGAUAUGACUCUACAAGAUUGGUUGUUGUUGUUGUUGUAUAUGAUUUCACAAGAAUCUCAAUAAAAUAAAACAAAACAGAAGCAUAUAAAAGAAAACUGCUAAAAGCACUUCUAUGACUUCUAUCAAAAAUCAUAACCAGUAUGGUAAAUGAACCAAAGGCCCAAACCUCAUGGAAGUUGUAUAAGAAUUUGGUCUGGAAACAAAAAACACAGGUUUCCCAAUUUGGAGACUCGGUUGGAGCUCCAAGUCAACUCUUCAUAUUUCCAUACCUUUCUUGUGAAUAGGCGAC